rnacentral:lncRNA from 1 species
GGUGAGGGCUCCAGCAUGGCAGGCUGCAGGUCCCGAGCCCUGCCCCCUUGCCCCGCGGGGAGGUGGCUGAGGCCCAGCGAAAAUUCGAGCGCGGCGCCGGCGGGCCAUCACUGUUGGAGGACCCAGUGCACCCUCCGCAGCUGUUGGCCCGGGUGCUAAGCCUCUCACUGCCCAGGGCCGGCGGCGCCAGCCGACCGCUCAGAAUGCGGGGCGCGCCGAGCCCGCGCCCACCCGGAAGUCGCGCUGGACCUGCGAGCACCGCAGGCAGCCCAGGUUCCGGCCCGCGCCUCUCCCUCCACACCUCCCCGCCAGCAGAGGGAGCCCGCUCAGGCCUCAGCCAGCACAGGGAGGGGCUCCCACGGUGCAGCUGCGGGCUGAAGGGCUCCUCAAGCGCGGCCAGAGUGGGCUGAGGCCGAGGAGGCGCGGAGAGCCAGCGAGGGAUGCCAGCAAGCUGUCACCUCUCAGAAAUACAGGAAGAACAUCAAUAAUGUUCGAAGUUAUAAAUUGCGGAGGUCAGAAGUCAGAAAACAAGGUGUCUGCAGGACCAACCUCUCCUCUGGAUGCUCUAGGUGUUGAAAUUUCCAGGAUGCAAAACGAAGGGGCAAUUCAAAACAUUCAUCUCCACUUCUCAAAAACAUGGUCCCUGUCACCAUCCACCUCGACUUCAUGUAUCUUCUGCUUCUACCCGUGUAACAAGUACAUACAUCGAGUCAUGAAUAUGGAAUGACUUCACCUGACUUCACUUGAAAUUCACUUAAUUUUCAACUCUGUUGGCUAUGAGAAAAGGACAUCCAGGCCUCACACAAAAAUGGAUCAAUGAAUUGAAACUCACCAAAUCACCACCACCAGACAACGGGAUGCUGAGUCUCAUUCAUCAUGAUUGCUUCCUGAAGCCUUCUGAGUUCCUGUUUCCCUACACAUUGUUACAUUUCUUCCCUGCAACAUAAACCCCCAAUUUUAGUCCAUCAAGGUUAUAGAUUUGAGACUGAUCUCCCAUUUCCUUGGCUGCAACACCCAAUUAUAGCCUUCUUGGCAAUAAUUGUUGUCUCAGUGAUUGGCUUUCUUUGUGGCCAGCAGCAGGACCUAGACUGAACACCUGAUUUUCUGGUCUCUCAAAACAGAAUUUUGGCUUUUCCAGAUUGGCAAAUAGCUCUUAGUUAAAUGUGGCUUUCAAGUAUGUGUUUACUCCUUUAUGUUUCAAUUUUCCUUCAAUUUUGGCCUGGAGAGUGUCUCAACUAAGAAGCUAAAAAGGGAAAGAAAAGAAAAGCAGUUAUGUUUUUUUCCCCUCCGGCCUAUACAAACACAUACACACCAAGGUGAGA